rnacentral:ncRNA from 1 species
AGCUGAUAAAGCCACAACCGUUGCGAGGCGGUGUCGGAAAGUUGCGGGUCUCCACAAAGGAGAUAGCCGGGCUGCCUGC